rnacentral:rRNA from 1 species
UACGUAGGAGACGAGCGUUGUCCGGAGUUACUGGGCGUAAAGGGCGCGUAGGCGGCCUUCUAAGUCGAACGUGAAAUCCCCGGGCUCAACCCGGGAACUGCGUCCGAUACUGGAAGGCUUGAAUCCGGGAGAGGGAUGUGGAAUUCCAGGUGUAGCGGUGAAAUGCGUAGAUAUCUGGAGGAACACCGGUGGCGAAGGCGGCAUCCUGGACCAACACUGACACUGAGGAGCGAAAGCCAGGGGAGCAAACGGG